rnacentral:rRNA from 1 species
UACGUAGGGGGGCAAGCGUUGUCCGGAAUUAUUGGGCGUAAAGAGCGUGUAGGCGGUCCGAUAAGUCGGCUGUGAAAGUCAGGGGCUCAACCCUUGAAAGCCGGCCGAUACUGUCGGACUAGAGUCCGGAAGAGGCAAGUGGAAUUCCCGGUGUAGCGGUGAAAUGCGCAGAUAUCGGGAGGAACACCAAUGGCGAAGGCAGCUUGCUGGGACGGUACUGACGCUGAGGCGCGAAAGCUAGGGGAGCGAACGGG